UGCCUACUCUGUUAUAGUAUGAAUAUAACUCCAAACUGAUCUGAAAAUGGAAACAAGGUACUUGAUGGCGUCAUUGGGGUGUAAUCAUUUAGCCUACCAUAAACAUAAUUUGAGUCCUUUACAAUAAGAAAAAUGAGUAAAAUGCCAUUUAUAGUAAUGAGAAUAAAAUCCAAUUUCCUUGGUGUCUAGCUUAUUAACUGUUCUACAUGUUUGAUUAUCUGUAUACAUACCUCAGCUUAAAAUUUCCUACGUAUGUGGGACUAAAUUAGAUACCAAAACAUUGAAUUAGUGCCACAAGUAAUUUUGACAAGGAAUGAGCAGCUGUAAAGAAUAGGAUGCAUGUAAUUGAAUAUAAUUAAGAUCAAACGAAUGAAGGAAAAUGUGAAUUUAACAACAAAAAAUAUAUGGCGGCUUACUCGCUGAUGGCCUCAUAAACCGUUCCAAAGGAUCCACUACCAAGAAGCUCCCCUUUAGUCCAUGAUCUGAUCACCCUCUUGAGCAUCCCGUUAGGCGAUACGGUGAUCGCUCCUGCAGUGCGUGCGCUCAAAGACUCAUGACCUUUGCUUGGAGAAUUCUCCGCACCUGAUGGUACAACCCUCUCAUAAUUCGAAGUCGAUUCCGCGAGACCUCUCGCAGUCACUCCCAUUCUCGUCCCCUUCGCUUCAUCUUCUUGGACACGAAGAUCACCAGGAUUGCCUUCGUCCCCCGCAACUUCCUCUUUCUCUUUCGAAGAGCGAGAUCUCCUCUCGGCCGGGGGAGGUAAAUUAGCCCUAAUUUUGCCACGUUCGGCUCCAUCAGGAUCCG
rnacentral:lncRNA from 1 species